rnacentral:misc_RNA from 1 species
UACUAUUACAUCAAAUCAUAUGCAUACUUCUCCCACCAUAAACAAAAAGCAACAAAAGAAUAACCAUUAAUAAAAUGGGAAACAAUAAUUUUAAGUGAUUAGUUUUGGUAGGACUGUAAUGGAGUAUAAUGAAAUAGGUCUCUUCCAUCAUUGAUCUAUUGCAUUUUUCACUUCAUAGUACCUUAUUAGGAUCCACUAAACAGGCUCAAGUUCUGGCUCGAACGAGAGGCGAAUGGGGUAUAGGAGAGUGGGGAGAGAUGAUUUCGUCGUAUAUUCGAGAGGAAAAGCUGAGUUUAAGGCUGCCUUGCCAGCAUAAUUUCUUCACUGACAUCUUGGCUUCCUUACUCUUAAGAAUAAAUGUCUUGAUUCUUGACAAAGCAACUUCCAUGGUCUGGUCAUCCAUGUUUGCAAAGCAAACUCUAAACCACCCUGGUUCAGUGCAACGGAAAGAAGAACCUGGCGAAACAUUCAGCUUAACAUUGUUGAUUAUCACCCUCCAGAGUGCUAUCUCUCCUUCAACUGUCUGUUCUUUGAGAAGUCUACGCAAAUCCAUCCAUACAAACAGGCCUGCAUUGCUUGUCUUCAAACACUUAAUCCCUACUUGAGCAAGUCCGUUAGUAAAGCUACUAUACCUUGUAGCUAAUCUCUUCUUGUUUUGCAUGAUGAACUUUUCCACAAAUUCAUCAUCUGAUAACAUUGAAGCAAUCAGGUGUUGAGUCUGCGAUGACACUAAUCCAAAACUCGACAUCUUGCGAGCACAGCUCACAACUGCAUCAUUGUAAGAGUAAAUAAUGCCUACUCUAAAUCCAGGGAACCCCAUGUCCUUGGAGAGGCUGUAAACAAUGUGGAUGAGAUCAAGAUUGCACUCCACCUCUUCCUCUAUUAUCUCUGAGAUGCUAACAAAAUCAGGCUGGCUAAAAACUGUGGCUGCAUAUAUCUCAUCGCAGACUAAAUGGAUGUUCUUCUCAUUAACGAAGCUGACAAUACUUUUUAGUGUUUCCCUGUCUAAGAUUGUACCUAGAGGAUUUGAUGGAUUGGUUAUGAGCAAGCCCUUUACUCUGAUGUUGUCUAAUUGUGCUGUAUCAUAAGCGUCUUCCAAGGCUUUUCUUGUAACCUUGAACUGGUUAGAGCUUUCACAUUCAACUGGGAUAAGUUGAACUCCUGUUCUCCAUCUCAAGUCUCGAUCAAAUCCUGGAUAAUAAGGAGUAGGCACCAAAAAUGCUUCGCCGGGAUCAGCCAAGCAGAAGGCGACCAUUUCGUGAGCUCCGGUGGCUCCUCCGCUCAUAACAAUGCGGUCAGGGUCAAAUGUUACUCUAUUCCCUCUGCCUUUGGCCAUGAACUUUGCAACAGCAUUUCUGAAUUCUGGCAAGCCAUGGUAAUCUUGAAAGAUAGCUAUAUCCCUGAACUCCUCCGCUCCUUCAGGAGUGCAAAUGGAAGCUUUUGGGUUGUUCUUGAGCCAUUCUUGAAUCAAAUCGAAGCAAAGCUGAUUCUCUGCAAGACCCAUCUGGAUAACUCCUUUCGGAUUCUUGGUGGGAUGAUAUGGAUCUUCAUCGUAUGCUUUCCAUCCAUCAAAAUACGGUGAGUCUUCACCGUGUCCAUUACCAGUUGCUAUCUUUGACAACAACUGAUUGUUCAACUUGAACACCAUAUUUUAUCUGCUGACGGUUACCUUGAAAUUUGCAAGAGAUGAUACCAAGUAUUUAUAUGUAGAGAGAUCUAGAGAAUGUCUAUUGAAGCAGGCGUAAUUGCUUGCGCUAUAUGGCC